rnacentral:rRNA from 1 species
GAAUAUUGGACAAUGGGCGAAAGCCUGAUCCAGCCAUGCCGCGUGGAUGAUGAAGGCCUUAGGGUUGUAAAGUCCUUUUAACGGGGAAGAUAAUGACGGUACCCGUAGAAUAAGCCCCGGCUAACUUCGUGCCAGCAGCCGCGGUAAUACGAAGGGGGCUAGCGUUGCUCGGAAUCACUGGGCGUAAAGCGCACGUAGGCGGCUUUCUAAGUCAGGGGUGAAAUCCUGGAGCUCAACUCCAGAACUGCCUUUGAUACUGGAAAGCUUGAGUUCGGGAGAGGUGAGUGGAACUGCGAGUGUAGAGGUGAAAUUCGUAGAUAUUCGCAAGAACACCAGUGGCGAAGGCGGCUCACUGGCCCGAUACUGACGCUGAGGUGCGAAAGCGUGGGGAGCAAACAGG